rnacentral:rRNA from 1 species
AGACCCGAAACCCGGUGAUCUAGCCAUGGGCAGGUUGAAGGUUGGGUAACACUAACUGGAGGACCGAACCGACUAAUGUUGAAAAAUUAGCGGAUGACCUGUGGCUGGGGGUGAAAGGCCAAUCAAACCGGGAGAUAGCUGGUUCUCCCCGAAAGCUAUUUAGGUAGCGCCUCGUGAAUUCAUCUCCGGGGGUAGAGCACUGUUUCGGCUAGGGGGCCAUCCCGGCUUACCAACCCGAUGCAAACUGCGAAUACCGGAGAAUGUUAUCACGGGAGACACACGGCGGGUGCUAACGUCCGUCGUGAAGAGGGAAACAACCCAGACCGCCAGCUAAGGUCCCAAAGUCAUGGUUAAGUGGGAAACGAUGUGGGAAGGCCCAGACAGCCAGGAUGUUGGCUUAGAAGCAGCCAUCAUUUAAAGAAAGCGUAAUAGCUCACUGGUCGAGUCGGCCUGCGCGGAAGAUGUAACGGGGCUAAACCAUGCACCGAAGCUGCGGCAGCGAACGUAUCACCCAAGACAACUUUACGGAGUUGACGAUUGACGGAGCGAAGCGACGUCAAAGCGUUCAUUAAAGUCGAGUUGGCUUAGGGAUACGUUCGUUGGGUAGGGGAGCGUUCUGUAAGCCUGUGAAGGUGGCCUGUGAGGGUUGCUGGAGGUAUCAGAAGUGCGAAUGCUGACAUA